AUUGAACGCUGGCGGCAUGCUUUACACAUGCAAGUCGAACGGUAACAGGUUAAGCUGACGAGUGGCGAACGGGUGAGUAAUGCAUCGGAACGUGCCCGGUCGUGGGGGAUAACGCAGCGAAAGCUGCGCUAAUACCGCAUACGAUCUAAGGAUGAAAGCGGGGGACCGUAAGGCCUCGCGCGAUCGGAGCGGCCGAUGUCAGAUUAGGUAGUUGGUGGGGUAAAGGCUCACCAAGCCAACGAUCUGUAGCUGGUCUGAGAGGACGACCAGCCACACUGGGACUGAGACACGGCCAAGACUCCUACGGGAGGCAGCAGUGGGGAAUUUUGGACAAUGGGCGAAAGCCUGAUCCAGCAAUGCCGCGUGCAGGAAGAAGGCCUUCGGGUUGUAAACUGCUUUUGUACGGAGCGAGAAGGUCUCCUCUAAUACAGGGGGCUCAUGACGGUACCGUAAGAAUAAGCACCGGCUAACUACGUGCCAGCAGCCGCAGUAA
rnacentral:rRNA from 1 species